AGUUAACUCAGUGAAGGCAAUGUUUGACUCUGACAAGGCAAUUGCAACCCCAGCAACACCCCAGGGGUGCUGCAGCUCUGGGCUAGUGGCCAUGUCAUGCAGGACUCAUGGAAACAAAGGGAUGGCUCUGUGCUCCAAGGCAGUGAAACAAAGUCUUUCACUCCCAUUUGUAGAGCUCACUGACGAACUGCAGGAUUUCUUUCCUGGGUGCUGGAGGGAGCAUUUGCCUGGAGCUGGCUACAAGAAUGAAUGUCUGCACAGCCAUAUCUGGUUCUUGAAUAGGUGCCAUAAUCUACUCAGGCUGCCUGAGGUCAAGCUUGUUCUGGGAUCUCUGGCUCUCCUGACAGGCUGCUGGAUUUUGGGACCUUGGAGCAGCACUCCUCGGGCUCUGGGAGAUGUGGGUGAACACAGGUGGCUCUGGGCUGUUGGAGGAGGAAGAGGAUGCUCUGUGUUUGUAUGGAGAAAGAAUAUGGCAAUGCCCCACAUGAGACAGCUCCAACACUGCAAAUUAUUCUCGUUUUGCUUUUUCCUUACAAAAGCACCAUAA
rnacentral:lncRNA from 1 species